CCUACGGGUGGCAGCAGUGAGGAAUAUUGGUCAAUGGACGCAAGUCUGAACCAGCCAUGCCGCGUGCAGGAAGACGGCUCUAUGAGUUGUAAACUGCUUUUGUACGGGAGUAAACGCAGAUACGCGUAUCUGUCUGAAAGUAUCUUUCGCAUAAAGCUCGGCUAACUCCGUGCCCGCAGCCGCGGUAAUACGGAGGGUUCGAGCGUUAUCCGGAUUUAUUGGGUUUAAAGGGUGCGUAGGCGGUCGGAUAAGUUAGAGGUGAAAUCCCGAGGCUUAACUUCGGAAUUGCCUUUGAUACUGUGCGGCUAGAGUGUAGUUGAGGUAGGCGGAAUGUAUGGUGUAGCGGUGAAAUGCGUAGAGAUCAUGCAGAACACCGGUUGCGAAGGCAGCUUACCAGGCUACAUCUGACGUUGAGGCACGAAAGCGUGGGGAGCAAACAGGAUUAGAUACCCUUGUAGUC
rnacentral:rRNA from 1 species